rnacentral:rRNA from 1 species
UACGGGGGGAGCAAGCGUUGUUCGGAUUUACUGGGCGUAAAGGGCGCGUAGGCGGCCACCGCAAGUCAAUUGUGAAAUCUCCGGGCUUAACUCGGAAAGGUCAACUGAUACUGCGGGGCUAGAGUGCGGAAGGGGCAACUGGAAUUCUCGGUGUAGCGGUGAAAUGCGUAGAUAUCGAGAGGAACACCUGCGGCGAAGGCGGGUUGCUGGGCCGACACUGACGCUGAUGCGCGAAAGCUAGGGGAGCAAACAGG